AUUUAUUAGUUCCUUUUACCAGAGUGUAAAUUUAGAUUAAGAUUCUGUUUUCUCAUCUCUAGAACUACAUAGUCUUCAUGAUAGAGUCUCAGCAAUUCUCUCCUGAUGCUAAUGCAGAGUUUGGAGUCUUCAAUGAAGUUUGAGAAGUGCCCUAGAAAUGGAACUAGAAGACCUGGAUUUCAGUGUGAGCUCUUCUACAUCUUGGUAUAGGACCAUAAACAAUUUACUUAAGCUUUCCGAG
rnacentral:lncRNA from 1 species